CCCUUAGAUGUUCUGGGCCGCACGCGCGCUACACUGUUCGACGCAGCGAGUCUUAACCUUGACCGAAAGGUUUGGGUAAUCUUCAGCAAAGUCGAACGUGAUGGGGAUCGAUCAUUGCAAUUAUUGAUCGUGAACGAGGAAUUCCUAGUAAGCACUAGUCAUCAGCUAAUGUUGAUUAUGUCCCUGCCCUUUGUACACACCGCCCGUCGCUACUACUGAUUGGGUGUUCAAGUGAGAUGCUUAGACCCUUGUUGCAUGGUUCAUUAUUGUGCUCCGAAAGGAAAAAGUUUCAAGCUUGAGUGUCUAGAGGAAGUAAAAGUCGUAACA
rnacentral:rRNA from 1 species